UGCCAGCAGCCGCGGUAAUACGGGGGGUGCAAGCGUUGUUCGGAAUGACUGGGCGUAAAGAGUGCGUAGGCGGAAUCAUAAGCAAAGCGUUAAAAGGCAGGGCUCAACCUUGUUAUUGCGUUUUGAACUGUGGAUCUAGAGUAUGAUAGAGGCAGGCGGAAUUCCUGGUGUAGAGGUGAAAUUCGUAGAUAUCAGGAGGAACACCGGAGGCGAAGGCGGCCUGCUGGGUCAUUACUGACGCUGAGGCACGAAAGCGUGGGUAGCAAACAGGAUUAGAUA
rnacentral:rRNA from 1 species